AUGUCCCUGGGAAUCAAACCUGGACUUCAAAGCAGUACAGUUACAGUAAGCGUAGCUACAUUGCUAACAUCUAAUACCUACUGCGCGUUCAGUAUGCUGCGUGCCAAUAUAGAUACAUACAAAAGUGAUCCAAGGCAACACAUACAUACAGUUUAUCAUCAGAGAGAGUGUGUGUGUGUGGGGGGGGGGGGGUGUAUACGUGCUUCAGAUCACUGUUGUGAUACAGUAAAAUGUCACUGCUCUCUGACACAUGAGAGGUGAGUAAUGGUAAUGUCACAUUGUUGCCACUUUAAAAGCGUUCUGUAUGUCUCUGUGCAGUACAGAACAGAGGGAUUCAGAUGAGAGCCAGCUGACUGAGUGAAGCUAAAUGAACCUGAAACCCUGAGGUAAUUAUACCUGCCUGUCAGGAAUGUCUCCCUAAUGGCCCCUGUGUUUACACCCAUACCCCUACCAUACCAUACCGCAGCAGACACAUUAGCGCCACCGCACACUCUUUAGCACACACACAUAUCUGCACGUGAGUGUGUGUGUGCAAGUGCUUGUGUUUAUUUCAGUGAGACGGAAGUCUCUGACGAGUGUCCCAUGUCUCCACUCAUUAGCAAGUACAAUAUAAUGGAUAAUUAAGGGGAGUCUUGAGUAUAGCCUACUAUACAGUGUUUGUAUAUAAACUGUAUACUAUUUCUAGACAACUCUCGUCAGGCUACCAUGGAACAGCCUCGAAUACUGAUACUGCAGAGCCUCUUUCUGAUGAUGUCACCAGUUCCAUUUUUGGCAGUUGGACAUCACAUUACGCGUCAGGUCAAUGAGUCAGCAAUGUUCAACAGUCCAAAAUUGCUCCUCAUAUUGCAUAUCACAGCUCCUGGGGUAAUGGAGCUGCACUGCUGAGGAGGCCUUGUAACUCAAACCACUAAGAGAGGUGCCACAAACAGACAUGAGAGAAACAUCUAGAAUCUGUUACAUUCAAAGCAUGAAUCAUUCCAACAGAAUCCUGGAGUCCAUGUUGGAUGGAGAAAAGGAGUCAAGUGUGUCAGAAAACAGAGGAGGGAUGGUGUAUCAUAUUGUGGUGACAGAAUGAUGGAAUGAUCCACAGCCAAUGAGAAUAGGAGAGCAGUAAUCAGAGAAACAGUAUAACAACAACACAAAUGUGUCCGUCCCUGUACACCUUAGGAAUGUCUGUGUCUGUGGUAAAGAAAAAGGAUAGGAGAUUUUGGAAUGGGUGACUAAUGCUGCAUUUAGACGAGGGACGCAGAAACCGUCAUACAAGAAGAAAGCAAGCCAGCACGACGGUACGUGUUGCUAUGGUGAUUACGGUAAACAAACAGUGCAAAUCAACAUCCGGUAGAAAACAACGCUACGACAGACAACAAAAGUUUAAAUAUUUUAACUGGUGGCAUGUCCCGUCUACUGUGACCUCAACGGCAUUUACCGUCGUGCUCUCAUUGAAAACAAUGACAUCCGGACGCCGUCUACCUCGUACAAUCUAAACGCAGCGUAACCGUUCCCCCACUGAGUUGUGUUGAAUAGAUAACAGUGGGAUACUAUCAGACAGGUUCACAUGUAGGAUUACAACAGGCUGCUGCUGAGGUCUGAGAAGACAGUCUGGGGGUGUGACGGAGAGACUACUGCAGGACUUGCCCUGAGAACACACUAGGAUAGGAUAGGUAUAGAUGGAGGGAUGGAAAGAGGGACAAAUAGUUACACACUGAGAGAGAGAGAGUACAGACAAGGGGAGAGAGGGGACAGAUAGUUUAUCUACCUCUGAGGCACAAACAUUUGAUGAUGUGAGUGAGUAGGGGGGAAUCGGGGGGUGGAUGAAUAAUAAUUUUAGCAAAUGGUCAAAGGAAGUUGGCAGUGAACUUAUGGGGACACAGGAUGAAACUCCUUCAUGGGAUAACAUACUAACACACUUUUCAUAAUGAUUGGUCCUCACCAGCUGACAGAAAAGAUGGAGACCAGGAUAUCUAACACAGUGAUGCUUCUUGGAUUAUGGGUGGUAGUGAUAUUGCAACUUUAGUGACUUGAGACAGAGGGUUGGUGUUAGGGUUGGUGUUUGGCGUUGGUGUUAGGGUUGGUGUUUGGCGUUGGUGUUAGGGUUGGUACUGGCGGAGAGGUUUAGUGUUCAAAGACACACUGGCAGAGUUGGGUUCUGUGUAGAGAUACUGAGUCAGCCUCUGAUGCUCCAGUCUGUCUAAUAAGGGUCCAUACUGGGACAAGAGUCCAGUCAGAAACCAGUGGCCACA
rnacentral:lncRNA from 13 species